rnacentral:rRNA from 1 species
UAGAGUUUGRAUCAGGCUCAGAUUGAACGCUGGCGGCAGGCCUAACACAUGCAAGUCGAGCGGUAACAGGAGAAAGCUUGCUUUCUUGCUGACGAGCGGCGGACGGGUGAGUAAUGUAUGGGGAUCUGCCCGAUAGAGGGGGAUAACUACUGGAAACGGUGGCUAAUACCGCAUAAUGUCUACGGACCAAAGCAGGGGCUCUUCGGACCUUGCACUAUCGGAUGAACCCAUAUGGGAUUAGCUAGUAGGUGGGGUAAAGGCUCACCUAGGCGACGAUCUCUAGCUGGUCUGAGAGGAUGAUCAGCCACACUGGGACUGAGACACGGCCCAGACUCCUACGGGAGGCAGCAGUGGGGAAUAUUGCACAAUGGGCGCAAGCCUGAUGCAGCCAUGCCGCGCGUAUGAAGAAGGCCUUAGGGUUGUAAAGUACUUUCAGCGGGGAGGAAGGUGAUAAGGUUAAUACCCUUAUCAAUUGACGUUACCCGCAGAAGAAGCACCGGCUAACUCCGUGCCAGCAGCCGCGGUAAUACGUAGGGUGCAAGCGUUAUUCGGAAUUACUGGGCGUAAAGCGCUCGCAGGCGGUCAAUUAAGUCAGAUGUGAAAGCCCCGAGCUUAACUUGGGAAUUGCAUCUGAAACUGGUUGGCUAGAGUCUUGUAGAGGGGGGUAGAAUUCCAUGUGUAGCGGUGAAAUGCGUAGAGAUGUGGAGGAACACCGGUGGCGAAGGCGGCCCCCUGGACAAAGACUGACGCUCAGGGCGA